GUAAUGCAGAAACCCUCUGUUGGAUGGCACCUGAAGUCCAUGCAUGUUUUACAAGAAGAGUACAUUAUGACUGCAAGGUGGAUGUGUGGUCUUUAGGAAUCACAGCCAUAGAAAUGGCAGAAUACGAUCCUCCACACAUUAAACUCCGUGGUACUGAGCUUUCCGAAAGGAUUAUGAAUGGUCCAGCUCCAGCUCUAAAACAGGAUAUAUGGCCAAAAUGAUUCAAUGAAAAGAAACCUAUCUCCUAUUUUAAUUCCCUAUUAUCCAACAGACUUCAGUGUCCUUUUUGAAUAAUUAUGGCUCUGUGUUUUAUUACAUCAUCAGUAACACUUCCGCCCUUUUUCUUUCCCCCCAGGAGUAAUAAAUUCCAGAGAUUUAUUUAUAAAUGUCUUCAGAAGCAUCCAGCCAAAAGACCAUUCGCAAAGGAACUCCUAUUCCACCGAUUCAUCCCAUAUAAUCGAGAUGAAGAGGAGGUGCAAUAUAGCAUAGCAUAGAAUAUAAAGAAAGGUAAAGUAAAUUACUCUACAAUCAAAAAGCAAUUACUGGGAAAUCUUUAAUGCCUAUGUGGCAGGCCUGGGCUGGGAAUCAAAAUAGGAUUGGCAUUUCAGGUACACAGAAGCCCAAACAGCAAACACAGAGGCCCAAACAGCCCACCACCAGCCCAAUAAAUAGGCAACUUACAGCAGCCCCUC